AGUUUAACUGUAGAAAAUUCAAUACUGAUUGCUGUGGUAAUAGGACUUACUGUUUUGCAACUUGCAGAAGUGACUGGUUUAUAUAUUUUACAUAAAAAAGGGAUGGUACAAUUCAAGAUUGGGAAAAAAGAAACGGUUUAUGCUGACGUCAAAAGUGAUAAUACACAGGUUCACGUUUACAGUACAAUGAAUAGAGCUGAAGAUAGCGGGAACAGUAACUACUAUAAUGAAAUUCACUAACGUGUUAAUUUACUGUCGAAAUGGAUGAAGAUCUGUGUACCGGAAGUUGCUAAUUAAUGCCUGUUGUAGUAAUGAGUUAAACUACUAUUUUUAAUGAUGUCAUCAUUUUAAACAAUUUCACAAAAGCAUACAUUAAACUUAUCCAUAUAAGUCAGUAUGGCAAGAAUGAGACUGACGCUCAUAAAAUACUGUUAACACCGUAUCAAAUAUAUAACAUUAGUUCUAGACUCGAGGUUCUAGAUCGACCAAUUGUAGAGGGUAAAACACUAAUACAAUUUUCUAAAUCAAUAAAACAAAACGCAGAAGACAAAACACAAAAGCGUUUACAAAACGGUGACUCAAACGUUUGCUUGAGUACAGUCACUUUGUCCCACAACGCACAAAUAUUAAAUUCCAAGUAUUAAUCAAAUAGUCAAACACAUAGUCUAUUAUCACAAGAAGGAUAACUUUUACUACAUUCCGCACACUUCUGUCCAAUUCUAUAUGUCUUCCCUCCAUUAUUGUAACCGCUGAAAGAAAAAAACCAUUGCAAAUGCAUAAUUUUUGUUAAUUUCAAUACAGUUAAAGAUAUAUGUUCUGAGUCUAGACGUAUUACGCCACCUGUUAAUGGAAUUUAUACGAAAAUGUAUAAAAGGGAUCGGUUUAUUUGCUCAUUUAUCUAAAAGAACUUGUGGAUAUAAAGCGCAAUUGAACGAAUGAACGGAUGCCACAUAUAUACUGAGUUGGAUUUAUACGGCACGUGAAAACACAGGCACCAAGAGUUGAUGAACGACAGGUAAAGUUUGUCGUAAUUCUUUUUCUAGCUGCGAUUGUUCCGUGACAAAACGUAUUGAUUGAUAGGUAUAAAAAAAAAGAAAUUCCAAUAUGAAUGUACCAGAAAGGAACCAAAUAUCACAAAAAAAUAAACAAAUAUAUAAGUUUUUUUUAAAUAAUAGUUAUGCAGAGACCAGGAGGUCUUUUUAAUAUAUAAACAUUAUGUUUAUCUAAAAUGACUGAUGACGUAUAUUGCAAACACAAUUUUUUAAAAUGUAUUCUUACAGCUUCUUCUCGUACCUGAGAGGUUACAUAGGUUAUAUCUCACUCGUCGGUAUUGACAUAUUUAAGUUGAUAAUACAGGACAAGAAUAUUGCAGAACAUGCUUUCGAUAUGCAGGAAUGGUUUUCAAACAAAACUCGUUCUUUCUAGAUUAAGAUAAAGAACUACAUAAACUAUCAAUUUUGGUAUAAUGUGUUCACCACUGUUCAUCUAACAUUUCACACGUUGUUUGUUCUCUUUUUUAAGGGUUAAAUAAUUUAGUAACAUCAAAAUCGUCACAUGAAUUUAUACCAGAUCAUGCUUGUUUUGCCUCUAUUAGAGUUGAGGCAUCGGUUUGUACAUAAUAUUAUCAGCCUUAAAUAGUUUGUAUCUUCUAUGAAGUUGUCAAACAACUACUAUAAACAUGAUAAAAUAUGUGUACCAAUAAUGUUUAUUUAAAAUACAAUA